UCUCUUCGCUUGUCUCUCUGCCCCUCUGCCGCGAGUGGCGUUCUGUCUCGGUCCUAUCCAAUGGCGCGACCUCCCGCCGCCAUCUCCCCCAAAAUGUCGCCAUCUCCCGCUAGGGUUUCGCUGUAAGUUCCCCCCUUCGCGCAAUCUGGUGUUCUUAUAAAUCGGUGCCCUGCUUUUAUUACGGUGGUAAGAUAUAUUUUGCCGCCUAGGAUUUAGCUUACUUUUGUGUUUCGCUCGCUAGAGCUACGCCUGUGCUCGCUAUCAUCAAAUAGUCAAUGCUGAUAAUUAUGCUGCGGUUACCAUUUCCUCGAAAUGCUGUUGCUGCGCUUGGAUAAUUCCAUGCCUAGGUGCUUAGGUGGUUGCAUUAAUGGCCUAUGUUGGUAGAGACACCCUAAUUAUCAGGAUGUUGAUCAUGGCAUGUGCUAUUAAUAAUACAGAAAGGAAUGGAGCCCCCAGACCGCUUCAUAUAUUCAAACUGAUAAAAGUUCAGUACGAACAGUGAGAUGUCCAUCCUCGGAAAUCAGAAAGGUCUUCCUUGCUAAUCGAACGGAUCAAGUGCCCUUUUACAAACUCUGGGUGUGUCCACACAAACAAAGGAUUCAGGAAACAAAAUAAAAUAAAAUAAAAUUGCAGGGCCAGUUUGAUCUUAAUUGGUGUUUGCGAAUGAUUGCUUGAUCCAACUUCAAAAAGGCUUUCAUGUUGUAUUAGUGCAUUUGUAUAUCAAAUACCUUUUUGUUCGCUAGGGAAUCAUGUGUUGAUGCACUUUUAGUGAGAUACGGGCCAGAAUGAUAUAUAGUACGAAGCGGAGACUAAUCGAUAUAUUCAGACUACCUACCUUUAUUGAGGGAUGAUGUGGAGUGACAGAGUAGGAAACAAAAACUAAAUGAGACCGUAUAGUUUCUUUAUUACUAACCUUACCGUGUGAAUUCUGGUUCUGCAAGUGCUAUGUGUUUUAACCAUGGAAAGAUUUAACUAUGUUGCUCUAGAGUCUAGAUGUUGGGCUGGUACAUUUAGCUGAAUAUUACUUAAGAAGCUAUUAGAUUGGUAGGUUUAGCUACUGAUUUGGAACCUCCCUGACCUGCAGUAGGAAGCUACCACGUGGGUAGAUUCAGCUACUGAAACCUCCACUGACCUGCACUAUAGAUUGCAUUUAACAGUGCUGUUGAACCUGCGGUUUAGAUCACGGGUUCAGGGAACUUCUUUCUUGUAAACAAAUGUAAAGGUUCAUUUACUAGUUAUCCAAUCAUUGAGAAUCAAGCUUCUCUGAUUUUGAAUAUGAAUAUGUGGUAGGUUUCGUGUAAAGGGGAGCUUGUUUGCAUGCAGACAUACAUUAUGCUGCAAUUAUGUCUCAACAAAUUUUACCCACUCACAAAACAACAUUUGGGACUACCAAUGCCAUGGCUACAGUAUCCCUCUAAACAACACUUCUGUACUUGUUAAAUUACUCGAAUGUAACUAUCCCCCAUUUUCUGGAACCAACAAUUUUCACAUCUAUGAUCCAUAACUAAAAAUGCAUUAGUAAACUGCAGGGCCAUGCUAGGAAAUCGGAAAGGUCUUCCUUGGUAUGGAUGGACCAAGUGCCCCUUCCAAACUCUGGGUGUGUCCACACGAACAAAGCAGUCAAGAAAUUUGAUAUGUCAAUUGCAGGGCCAGUUUGAUCUUAAUCGAUGUUUGCAAAUCAUUGCUUGGUCCAACUCCAAAAAGGCUUCCGUCUUCUAUGAGUUCAUUUGUAUAUGAUCCGCCUUUUUGUUCGUUAGGGAAUCAUGUUUUGAUGCACCUUUAAUGAGAUACAGGGCAUUAUGAUAUAUAGUAGGAAGCGAAGACUAAAUGAUAUAUUCAGACUACCUACCUUUGUUUGAGAGAUGCGACAGAGUGACAGAGUAGGAAGCAAAAACUUGAUGAUAUAUUCAGACGGCCUAGUUUCUUUGUUACUAACAUUACUGUGUGAAUUCUAGUUCUGCAAGUGCUAUGUGUUUUAACCAUGGAAAGAUUUAACUAUGUUGCUCUAGAGUCUAGAUUCUGGGCUCGUGCUUUUAUCUCUAUGUUAACUAAGAAGCUAUUACAUUGGUAAAUUUAGCUACUGAUCUGGAACCUCCCAUGACCUUCAGUAAGUAGCUACUACAUAAGUCGAUUCAGCUACUGAAACCUCCAGUAACCUGCAGUAUAGGUUACAUUUAACGAUGCUGUUGAACCAGCAGUAUAGAUCAUUUCUUGUAAACAAACGUAAAGGUUCAUUUACUAGUUAUCCAAUCAUUGAGAAUCAAGCUUCUCUGGUUUUGAAUCUGAAUAUGUGGUAGGUUUUGUGUAAAAGGGAGCUUGUUUGUGUGCAGACAGACAUUACGCUACACAUAGGCUGCAAUUAUCUCAACGAAUUUUCAUUCUCUUCUACUCUAUUCAGCCUGUACUACCACUCACAAAACAAUAUUUGGGACUACCAAUGCCAUGGUUACAGUAUCCGUCUAAACAACUUUUGUACUUGAUAAAUCACCCAAAUGUAACUAUCACCCGUUCUCUGGAACCAACAAUUUUCACAUCUCUGAUCCAUAACUAAAUAUGUGUUAGUAAACUGAAAUGCAUGGCUUGGUGAAAACGAUUCUUGAAUAUAGAUUCACCUGUUGAACUAGAAUUCUCAAUCUUGGACCUCUUGAUAAACAUGAAACCAAAUAGAUUUUCUAGUCUAGCUAUAUUUUGCUGUUUUUUUUUAGAAAUUUUGUUGCAUCAACCCAGUAGCUAUAAGCCUAUAAUCAUGUUUACUAGAUUGAGUAAUAAAUUAUUGAAGGAUACACACAUAUUUACUGAUUAAGUAUUUUAGCAUGUAAAAUAUGUAUACUGAUCGCAUCAGAACCGGAAAUUGUAACCAAAUACUUCAAAGAUGUUUGCAUAUUGAUCGCAGAUGCAAUUUUCUUACUGCUUCUGGAGAAGAACUUUUACCAAGUAUUAAGUAUGAACCCUUCUGUGUGUGUGAGUUAUGAUGUAAUCUAUUUACCUAGCAAAAAUAAACUUAAACGGAUGAGAGUCGUGGCUCCAAUUAUUUAUGGCCCCCCUUGCCUAAUACGUAAACCUUGGCAAAACAACAAAAUAAUAUUAACAUAUGUGGUGUCAGCACAGGUGCAUACUUCAUUGUUUAUCGUUUUCCUCUAAAAAUUGUAAUGUGGUUGGNNNNNNNNNNNNNNNNNNNNNNNNNNNNNNNNNNNNNNNNNNNNNNNNNNNNNNNNNNNNNNNNNNNNNNNNNNNNNNNNNNNNNNNNNNNNNNNNNNNNNNNNNNNNNNNNNNNNNNNNNNNNNNNNNNNNNNNNNNNNNNNNNNNNNNNNNNNNNNNNNNNNNNNNNNNNNNNNNNNNNNNNNNNNNNNNNNNNNNNNNNNNNNNNNNNNNNNNNNNNNNNNNNNNNNNNNNNNNNNNNNNNNNNNNNNNNNNNNNNNNNNNNNNNNNNCACUUUUGCACGCUUAAUUUUAUCUGGUCCAUCCUAGUUUGGAUAUUUGAGUUUAUGCUCAUGUCGUUGGAGAAACUAACAUUUGGGAAAUUCAGAUGGUAUUUUCAACAAUGAAUGGAAGAACCGUACGGAAUAUUCAGUGCUAGGGUCAGUCGAAAAAAAUAUUCAGUGCUAGGAGUUUAUGUGGUCAAUCAACUUGUAUCUACGAGACUAUUACUAUCAUGGAAACCAUCCUGAGCUAGAACUGGCUACCCAAUCGCCCGGAGACAAAAUUCUACGAUCAGAAAAUUAGUACCUCCAUUAGGCGAUCGUGAUUCUCUUUAUUGUUUUAACUAAAAUUGCUGCUCCCCAGACGAAGCACUACCUUAUUUCCAUAGUGUUCAACUCGCAGUAGUUUAUUUGGCUAAAACAGAUACACAUGGACCAAAGUUUAGGCAUGAAUAUAUGGUGGCUAUGAUAUGCAUGGAAGAUGGAACUAAGGGAGUUGAACCUUUCGGCGUCGACGUGUGCACUUGCACACUUCCUUUUGCGAACACUAUUCCCGAAAAUGCCUCCCCAGACCGGCAUAAUCACUUUGGGUAACCUACACACUGUAUUUCGUGUUCUGCAGCCAUUACUAGCACAUGAUUUUUCAGCUUCGUAGUGUCAGUGCGUUCUUAGGUGCCUUUUGGCGGAUUUCAACUAUUUUCAUUUUUGUCCAGUUCUGAAUGACUUUCACCUGAAACUCAAUACCAGGGUAUAAAUUUAGCCGAUGGUACCUGAACUAGUAGAUGUGCACUGAUUGUAGCUUUAGCUUAGAAUAUUUAUUUUAAUUUCCUGUUUACCAACCGCCCACCCUAGUAUAAUCUAGCUUUCAAUGAUGAGCAUGUUGGGGUUCUGCAGCAAGAUCUGGAUUCUUUUCCUUGUUAACUGAAAACUAGUUAUAUUGUAUCCUUUCGGUUGUUGGGCACUGAGAGUGCUGUCAGAACCUUAGUUUUAAUAUUUAUUAGCAAGUAGGUCUUAGAUUUCCUAGAAAUAGCCAGUCAUCUUGCAGGAGUGUUGAACUGAAUACAGCUGACCUUCAGUAUCUCCAGAUCAUAUGAUUCCCUCUCUUGUGUCAGAGUGGUACCUGUCAUUUCAUUAAGAACCAUGUUAGUCAUAUAGUGAGUGGAAGCUUCUUGCCUUACAAAAUCAACCUUGGUAAUUUAUUGUUUGUUUUGCCUGUCUACACCUCUAGGCACAUUCGUCAGUAUGAUUUAUCUUCAUUCAGGAUGUCACUACAUUAUCACUCUGUUCUGGAAUUCACUUGUUCUUUUGUCUAGUGAAGAGUUAUUUGCUUGUUGUGGCAACAAGGUGAUAAUGUAAACUAACUGUGAUACAUGUAAAGUCUUGCUGACCAGUACGACACCAUCAUGUUGUGCGGAGGUCGGUGGUCAAAAGAUUAUCCAGCUGAUGCUCAAAUCAUUCCAAUGUUGAGGAAAGACCAAUUUUGGUGGCCAAUAUUUGCAUCUUGCAUAUUCUUAUCGUAACUGAGCAGGACCUGCCUUUUGAGGAUCUUUUCAGUAUCAGACCAUGAGGCUUCAUCAUUGUCCGUGCUGAUCUUCUUUACAAAAUUUACCUGGACCUCAUGAUUCACAUAUCUCUUUUCAAAGUUUACGCACGAACAAGGUGACAGAUCUAAAGUAUGUAAGGCAUGUGAGGGUCUGUUAAUGUAGCGCAAUACGAUAAGAUAAUGCAUGUGAUUCCUAGCAUCUGUUUAGCAGGCAGGCCUACUUGGCCUAUUGUAUAGUACAUAAGCAGUACUCUUUGUUUUCUUAAUUGGUCAAGUGCAGACUUAAACAAGAGAUUGAUCUCACUGGAGUGUGUGACCUUGGGUGGAGGGCUGGGGCCAAGGGGUUUCUUCAUAAACAAUACCAUGUCCACGUGAUAACCUGUAGGCGUUUUCUACUAAUUGGAUCCAGCUACAUGUGCCCCGUGAGACAUGCUGCCAUCAAGAUACGCCCGGAUCAUCACCAACUAGCUGGUUCUGAUUGGAGAUUUGAUAUUUUAUAUUGUUUUCUCAUCGUACUUAUGUGUAAAAUGGUCAUUUGGGAGUAGCUUACCCUGCAAUUGGUAUUCUAGGCAAGCUGUAUGAUGGUAGUUACGCUCAGAGCAGCAGCACCUAAUGAUCCAGCAUUAUUGUACUACUGCCAGUGGAUCUUGUGAAUUGAAUAUUCCUGAGACAAAGAGAACUUUUAGUGCAUGUAUAUGCUGUGACUGGCUGGCUAAUCAGAUCGUUAUCAGGCUAAUAGGAUCUUUAUUAACCAGCUCGUGCAUGUCCGAUGUCAUUAGUUCGUCAUUACCAAAUUAUCUUACAAUACAAGAUGUGUUUCUGCUAUUAUUAAGUUUCACACUAGUAUGCUAGAUCUCUUGAGCUCUUAAAUGGCGUGCAUUAUCAUUGCUGAUGGGCAAAUUGUGGCAUAUUGCAUUGGAGGGAGUACCUGCUUAUAAUCUAAGGAUUGAAAUGAUCAAUUAUAUUGAGCUGCCUGGAAACUUUAUAUGUUCCGCUAUGAUGUUUUACUAUGUUGAUAGUUAAACUAGCCACUAGUUUGCGAAAGCUGAGACUUUGCAACUGGGAUUUACUUUGUGAGUAGAAAUUUGGGCCAAAAUGCAAUUACCCACAUGCUUACAUUUUGAGGUUUUGCUGUCAUGUUCACAUCUUAAUACUGUCUCUUAAGCUUCUAGAGGGUACGAAGGGCUAAUAUGUGUCCUACUAGCUCAGGUGUCAGGUCACUGAAGAAUAAAGCUGGCAGUUGCACUAUACUUGCUGUACUGCCUGGCUCGUUGCAUUGACUGGUCAAAUUCCCAAUGAUUCUUCUGAGUUGUCCAGCAACUCUUUUCCUGGAAGGGCAGAUUCAUUCUACUAUGAUCUGUAUGUAGGGGUGCAUUUUGCAAACAUAUUUGGUGCCAUAUAUAGUCCAAUGCAUCUACUCUUGUUCCUUACAGAGCUAAAUGUUGUGGCUGAUACAUGGGAGUGUUUUUCCCAUAAUACAGUCAUCAAGUAAAACUAUGUUGCAAACUGUGUAAGCCUACAUGUAUUGAUACAUUCCCGAGAGUUUGUUGGGAGCUGAAAGGGCAUACAUGAUUCAGAUAUGCUAAUUGGUCAUGCUUAAUAUAUUGGAAAUCUCAAAUUUGCAGAAGGCAUUAUUGUUUUGUUUUAGAUCCUCAGC
rnacentral:lncRNA from 1 species